UACGAAGGGGGCUAGCGUUGCUCGGAAUAACUGGGCGUAAAGCGCACGUAGGCGGACUCUUAAGUCGGUGGUGAAAUCCUGGAGCUCAACUCCAGAACUGCCUUCGAUACUGAGAGUCUCGAGUCCGAGAGAGGUGAGUGGAACUGCGAGUGUAGAGGUGAAAUUCGUAGAUAUUCGCAAGAACACCAGUGGCGAAGGCGGCUCACUGGCCCGGUACUGACGCUGAGGUGCGAAAGCGUGGGGAGCAAACAGG
rnacentral:rRNA from 1 species